GUCUCAACACGCCGCGGCGGUACUUACCGCCGCCUGACGGGACAACCACCGCGGCGGUACGUACUGCCGCGGCAAAUAAUUUCCCCAAGAUCACAGCGCCACUCGGUGGCGGCAGGCCGGUAGCUUUUCUUAAAGUAAGUGCUCUGAAAAUGGAUCAACCUCCUGAAGACCCAGAUUUAAAUGAGUCGAAAAAGAAAGAUGAAAAGAACGCCAAAAAGAUAUUGCAGCGGUUGGGUGAGCCUAAUAGAGGUUCAAACCUCAGACAACAAUCAAAUCUUUCAUUUUUCAAGCCCAAAGCUUCUCCCUGUUCUAAAACCCACAAGCCAAACUCUAGUUCAUGUAGGUAGAUGGCAUCAAAUCAAAUAACAACGUACCUAACAAGAUGAUUUUCCACCUGCGGAUGUAGAAGCUGCUGGUCAUCCAGCAGCUGCACCGCUGGAAGGCUUGGACUUGUUUCAGAAUGUUACGAAUCCAACUGAAACUACUGUUGAUGUUGAUGAGAUGAGGUAAAAAAUAAUGGAAAAUGUGAUGAUUGACAUUCAAAAAGCAGCAGACAUACAAAAUGAUGCUUUUACUAAAGUGGUAGAAAAGGAAAGGGAACUCAGGAAAGAAAGACUGAAAGGCAAAGAAUGGCAGUCAAGAAAUGAAGCUCUUCAUGGAGCUUGGACAACAGAAAUACGGACUAUUUUCGUUAAUGCCCAACUCAAGAGGAGAAGUCAGUUUCAUAGUGUGUGCACUGUGUGCAAGAAAAGUGGCCGAAUCCUCGUAUGCUGUUAUGAUUGUAAGCAACAUUUAUGCUGGGAAUGUGAUUAUGCAUUCCAUUUUUUCAAUCCACUUCAUGCCAGAGUUUAUAAAACAAGUAAAAACUACUCAACUGAGCAACUAUUACCAACCGAGUUUAUGAACGAGUUUGGUCAAAAAAUUGAGAAAGACGUUCCUGUAACUUGCUUCCCUCCUUCCAGGUGUUGGAGUUGUAGCUGGACACUUGUGUAUUAAAUACCGGAACCAACGAUGUUAUACUGUUAUCACAGUUAAAAAGGAAGGUUCGAUUUAAAGUCUGCCAGUUUCAGCUGCACUUCUUGCGUGUAGGGAGGCCCUCGAUGAAGAGUACGUUUAUUCAGAAUGGCUACCAGGCAAACCAGGAAAGGAUAAGGAAGAACCUGCUAAUCUCUUUUUUGAUGAACAUCUUUUGGAUACCUGUACGAAAUUCAAAACAAUACUCCUGGAACAUCACAAGAAAUGUUUCUGAGAAGUCUUUCUCAAAUGUCUACUCAAAAUGGCCAGCCAAGUUACAUCAAUCCAAUUCUGUUUUUUAAAGCCUAUGAUGAGAAUAAUCUAAUGAAGUGCAUUCAUCUCGUUCAGUUCUUACAAUAAUAAAUCAGUGAACAAUU